rnacentral:rRNA from 1 species
ACGCUGGCGGCAGGCUUAACACAUGCAAGUCGAACGCACCUUUCGGGGUGAGUGGCAGACGGGUGAGUAACGCGUGGGAACGUGCCCUUCAGUUCGGAAUAACCCAGGGAAACUUGGGCUAAUACCGGAUACGUGCGAGAGCAGAAAGAUUUAUCGCUGAAGGAUCGGCCCGCGUCUGAUUAGCUAGUUGGUGGGGUAAUGGCCCACCAAGGCGACGAUCAGUAGCUGGUCUGAGAGGAUGAUCAGCCACAUUGGGACUGAGACACGGCCCAAACUCCUACGGGAGGCAGCAGUGGGGAAUAUUGGACAAUGGGCGCAAGCCUGAUCCAGCCAUGCCGCGUGAGUGAUGAAGGCCUUAGGGUUGUAAAGCUCUUUCGUCCGGGACGAUAAUGACGGUACCGG